UUCCCUACGGGAGGCAGCAGUGAGGAAUAUUGGUCAAUGGGCGAGAGCCUGAACCAGCCAAGUUGCGUGAAGGAUGACGGCCCUACGGGUUGUAAACUUCUUUUGUCAGGGAGCAAUUGGGUCCACGCGUGGGCUUAGCGAGAGUACCUGAAGAAAAAGCAUCGGCUAACUCCGUGCCAGCAGCCGCGGUAAUACGGAGGAUGCGAGCGUUAUCCGGAUUUAUUGGGUUUAAAGGGUGCGCAGGCGGAUUUUUAAGUCAGCGAUCAAAUCGUGGGGCUCAACCCCAUCCAGCCGUUGAAACUGGG
rnacentral:rRNA from 1 species